AUGGAAAAGGAAUUCUUUACUUAAAAUGCAUUCUGGAUAUAAAGAGAAGGGAAAUCUAUGAUUCUUCCAAAAGAUGUUGAACUGCAAUCUUGUCCCAUGGAUAAUAGAAAUUAAUCUGGAGGGCUAUAGCUUCUCUUUUUCUAAGAUAGAAUUUAGCCCAAUAUGUCUUAACAAUUGUCCAAAACACUUGCUUAAAGCAAAGUGAUUACAAAAGAUGUUCUAUUAAACAGAUCUAUAUUAAAAGAUCUAUAUUAAACAUUUAAAUGUAAUAUGAAUUUGGUUUUUUUAAAACAAGUAAGAUUAUGCAAAGCAUUCAAAAUUGCACUCUGCAAAACCUAUAGGACUACUGAUAUUUCUGUGCCUGAAUUCAUAAAACUAUUAUGUGUGUGCAGUAAAUGUGUGUGCACAUAUAAUAGGUUUUAUCAAUGGUCACUCAUUUCCUAGUCACUUUGAUUAUGCUAAUGCAUUUGGAAAGUACAUCUGAUCCAGAAUGCAAUGGCUCAAGUAGCCAUAGACACUCCUUGUUGCACCCCUGCAAUACUUUAUUUUUGGAGAAGUACUGUCUAUUCAUUGUACAUUGAAUGUAAUUCUAGAAUGGUGGUUACCAUCAUCUGUUUUGCCCCUAUAUCCAUGAUGGCAAACCAUAGGUGGCACUCAGAGCCCUCUCUGCAGGCAUGCCAGCCGUUGCCCCAGGCCAGCUCCACUGCACAUGCGUGCAUGCCUCCUGCUGGCCAGCUGGUCUUCAGGUCUCUGCCACACGUGUGGUGGUGGGGCACAUGCAGGGACAUGCAUGUGCAUGCGUGGGGGCGAGCACAUGUGCUGGGUGAUACAGGAGGCUUUCCAGGCCUAAAACGGGGCCCAAUGAAGCCUUGCGCUGCGCCCCCGUACCGCAUUUUGGCUUCUAGGUUGGUGGCUUUCUACGCCCAAAACAUGGCGCAUCCUCCCCACAUCCCAUUUUGGGCCUGGAAAACUGCCUGCACCAACCUGGAAGCCAAAAUGGGGCACGGGGAGACAGGGCACAUGCGCGGGGAUGGGGUAUAUGCACGGGGGUGCGCUCACAUUGCAUUUUGGGGGUUCGGGCACAAGUAUGCGUUUUGGCCACUCAGUACCAAAAAGGUUAACCAUCACUGCUCUAUAUGGUUCAUGGUUUGAAUAUUUACAGGAUUGUCUUCUUCCAAAAACAUCUGUUCACUCAAUAUUGUCAAAUACAACAAACUCUCUCCACGUCCUUUGCUCAGAGAAUGCCAUCUAUAGAUGCUAGAAUAAUAUGCCUACUCUAUUGUUCGUCCACUUCUUUGGACAGCAGUCUCUCAGACCCUCAAAUGGCCCAUUCCCUGUUGGUGUUUAAAAAGGAUUUGCCUAACUAACCCUAGAGAAGCUGAACAUGAUUAUGUGUCCUUAAAAAAAUGGAUAUGGUUCAGUGGUGAGGGUAUAUAUACAAAAGUAUGGUCUACAAUUAUCCCUAGGGCCUUAUACUGUGAUUUUAUGGCUUUAAUUUAUUAACUAUAUCAUGUUUUGCUUUAAUCUGAGAUAUGGAAGGGGAACCGAAUACUAUUACUUCUGUGCAACUGGAGUGGACUAUAAACUGCAUAAAAUAAACAACAAACAAUUACGUGCAGACAAUUGCAAGAGCUUUUCAUAAAGUGUGAUUGUUUUAUUGCUUGUAAGAAAGAUCUUGGGCAUGAACCAACAUGCCUUGCAAAGUACCUUCUUUAAUAUGCUUUGCAAAAUCUUAAAAGCUCUUACUUCUCUGAACAUGUCUUCAGAUAUAUUUAAGUAUUAUUCAUAAUAUAAAAUGAAUGUUCUACUAGAAUAUAAUCUAUGGACAUAUUAUGCCAUAAUUUUAAAUAGUUUCAAGUAGAAUAUCUUUACUAAUGGCAGUUGCUGCAAAAUAAUGCUUAUGAUUUCUUCUUUACAAUGAAGAUGUUCUGUUGGCCUUAUAAUCAGGAGAGAACUGACUGCUUCAUAUAUCAUACUAAGUUUGUUUAACUAUGGAUUGCUGAAUAAGCCACAAUUGACAGGAUUCACACAAGUUGUGUCCAACUCAACUGUGUGUUCUUUUGAGUUGCCUCACUAUCAGCUCUUUCUACCACAAAGACCCUGCAGGAGAAGGGGAAUAUGGACAACUAUUGGAUCUGGCAGAAGAGACAGAGCUUAUUCAGUUGGCUUCUUCCAGGCAAUUGAUAGACCAAAUGGGUUCCAAAGAGAGCUUGGGGUUUUCCCUGAAGAUUUGGUGAGCAAUCUGGCUCAGACCCUAACUGCUGCCUGGAGUGGAUGGGUGACUAUUACCUUGGAUUAUAUUAUUCCUACAUGGCCUCUCAUGACGACUGUUCUUCAUAUGUUUAAGCCUUCAGUCCCCUGAUUACCUUUGUUGCUCUUCUUUGGACUCUUUCUAGACUCUCAACAUCUAUUUUAUAUAGUGGCAACCAAAGCUGGAUGCAAUAUUCCAAGUGUGGCCUUACCAAGGCAUUAUAAAGUGGUAUUAACACUUCACAUAUCUUGAUUCUACCCCUCUAUUAAUGCAGCCUAAGACUGUGUUGGCUUUUAUGCCAACUGCAGCACACUACUGGUUUAUAUAUAAGAGACUGUACACUAGGGCUCCAAGAUCUCUUUCACAGUUACUGUGAUUUGGGUUUUUUUACCUAAAUAUAAAUCUUACUUUUCUCUACAUUGAAUUUCAUUUUAGAUAUGUUUAAACCUGUAGUUGUGGCUCCAGCCCCCUCCGGGCCUGGCCCCCUGCCAGAGAGUGACUCACAGAGUGAGGGGGAAGGGCUGUCAGGGCUUCCCUCUGCAGGGCCGGCCUCUCUGGUUCAGCUCCAGGAGCCAGAGGCAGGCCAGAAGGAGGUCUCCUGUAUCUCCCCCCACCCAGGCAAUGCUCCCAGACCCAGCUGUGGACAGUCAGUCCUGGUUAGAUCCCAGGUUUCAUAGACAAGAAAGGUGGGAACAACAGAAGUAGGGGUGGGGCAGGCCUAGAAAGUGCUGAGUCAUGGAGCCACACCUCACAGGGUAUAAAAGCAGGAGAGGCUGCUAUACUACUUCGUGACGAACAAAUCAACUGACUGAACAUUUGGCUUUGAGUGCUGUUUGUUCCUGACUUCCUGGUUGACAUGCCGGCAUCAAGAAAGAUAAAAGAAAAACCUUGGCAGAUGCUCGCUGGUUUGCUGCCAGAGCUGAUAGCUGCCGUGGACUGAAUUGCCAGCUAAUUGAGUCAUUUCACGUGCUCCCAAACUGAGGUGGGGGGACAGAACACCUGUCAAGAUCCUUCUGUAUCUUGACUUAUCCUGUGGAGUAUUGGCUAUUUCUGUCAGCUUGGUGUCAUCUGCAAAUUUAACCAGUUCCCCUUUUAUCCCCUCAUCUAAGUCAUUAAUGAAAAUAUUGAAGAGUACUGGGCCUAAGACAGAGCCUUGGGGUCCCCGCUGGAAUUGAACCAAAAAAACAAAAAUAACAUGGUCUCAUAAGCAGCAAUAGAGGUCUAAGAUGUUUUCUUAUUGUUCAGAAUCUUGGAUUUGGUAAGGAAAGUUCCUGAGAAACUAAGAAGCACAAUGUCAGCUGGAAAAAUAAAAUGUUUAUGCUUCUCUUCUGUUAUAUUCUAUCUUCAGUUUCCAACAUUUCUAACAGUAGUUUCUUUCUUUGUCUCCACAUAAAAAUACUCACAUCAACCUUCUGAAUAGCUUUGACAUUUGUCUAAAUUAAAUUACCUGG